rnacentral:rRNA from 1 species
UACAGAGGUCUCAAGCGUUGUUCGGAUUCAUUGGGCGUAAAGGGUGCGUAGGCGGCGCGGUAAGUCGGGUGUGAAAUCUCGGAGCUUAACUCCGAAACUGCAUCCGAUACUGCCGUGCUCGAGGACUGGAGAGGAGACUGGAAUUCAUGGUGUAGCAGUGAAAUGCGUAGAGAUCAUGAGGAAGACCAGUGGCGAAGGCGGGUCUCUGGACAGUUCCUGACACUGAGGCACGAAGGCCAGGGGAGCAAACGGG